rnacentral:lncRNA from 1 species
UAAACAGCAAGAGUGGGAGUUGGCAGAAGUGCAUUCUGUAUAAAACACAGGUAUUUGUGUUUGGCUGUUGGUGCUAAGGAAGGCUGUGAAAGACUUUGGGAAGAUUCAAGAACAAUGUACGGAACACGGGCUGUGGGAAGAGCCCUGAAUUGGAAUUCUACUGAUUCUCCCAGUCAUUCUCUUUGUGACCUCGGACAAAUGGCUUAGCCUCUGAAAUGGGUAGGGUGGGAUGUCAGGAUGGGUAAAUGAGAGUGAGCUGGCAAUCUCUGGUGUCUGGAUGAAUUGUUCAGGGCCUCUCUAUUCUACACAAUCUUGGGAUCUCUUUUAUCUUAGAAAUUUAUGCCUAGC